UGCAGAUUUUUUUGGUUACAUAACUGCACUCAAAAACAAAACAGUGUAAAACUUUAGAGCCUAUGAAGUCCACUCAGUCCUACUUCUUAUUCUGCCAAUCACUAAGACAAACAAAUUUGUUUCCAUUUACAGGAUAUAAUGCCUCCCUCUUCUUAUUUACAAUGUCACCAGAAAGUAAGUACAGGCAUUUGCAUGGCACUUUUGUAGUCGGCAUUGCAAGGUAUUUACGUGCCAGAUAUGCUAAACAUUUGCAUGCCCCUUCA